rnacentral:misc_RNA from 1 species
UACGUAGGUGGCAAGCGUUGUCCGGAAUUAUUGGGCGUAAAGAGCUCGUAGGCGGCUUAGAAAGUCAGGUGUGAAACCUCCAGGCUCAACCUGGAGACGCCACUUGAUACUUCUAUGGCUUGAGUUCGGUAGGGGAUCACGGAAUUCCUGGUGUAGCGGUGAAAUGCGCAGAUAUCAGGAGGAACACCGAUGGCGAAGGCAGUGAUCUGGGCCGAUACUGACGCUGAGGAGCGAAAGCGUGGGGAGCGAACAGG